AUUCCUACGGGAGGCAGCAGUGGGGAAUCUUGCGCAAUGGCCGAGAGGCUGACGCAGCGACGCCGCGUGGGGGAUGAAGCAUUUCGGUGUGUAAACCCCUGUUGCUCGGGACGAACGAUCCUUUUCGAGGGAUGUGACGGUACCGAGUGAGGAAGCACCGGCUAACUCCGUGCCAGCAGCCGCGGUAAUACGGAGGGCGCGAGCGUUGUCUGGAAUCACUGGGCGUAAAGGGCGCGUAGGUGGUUGGAUGCGCCGGUGGUGAAAGCGCAGGGCUCAACCCUGCGUCGGCCAUCGGGACGGUCCGACUGGAGCACUGUAGAGGCAGGUGGAAUUCCGGGUGUAGCGGUGGAAUGCGUAGAGAUCCGGAAGAACACCGGUGGCGAAGGCGGCCUGCUGGGCAGUUGCUGACACUGAGGCGCGACAGCGUGGGGAGCAAACAGGAUUAGAUACCCUGGUAGUCCACGCCGUAAACGAUGGGCACUAGGUGCUUGGGGGAGCGACCCCCUGAGUGCCGACGCUAACGCAUUAAGUGCCCCGCCUGGGGAGUACGACCGCAAGGUAGAAACUCAAAGGAAUUGACGGGGGCCCGCACAAGCGGUGGAGCAUGUGGUUUAAUUCGACGCAACGCGAAGAACCUUACCUAGGCUUGACAUGGCCGUGAACUCGGUGGGAAACCGCCGGGGUCCUUCGGGACGCGGUCACAGGUGCUGCAUGGCUGUCGUCAGCUCGUGUCGUGAGGUGUUGGGUUAAGUCCCGCAACGAGCGCAACCCUCGUCGCUAGUUACCAGCGCGUCAUGGCGGGGACUCUAGCGAGACUGCCGGUGCCAAACCGGAGGAAGGUGGGGACGACGUCAAGUCAUCAUGGUCCUUACGUCUAGGGCUACACACGUGCUACAAUGGCCAGGCUAAAGGGUCGCGAACGCGCAAGCGGGAGCCAAUCCCCAAAACUGGCCUCAGUUCGGAUUGUCGUCUGCAACUCGACGGCAUGAAGCUGGAAUCGCUAGUAAUCGUGGAUCAGCUACGCCACGGUGAAUACGUUCCCGGGCCUUGUACACACCGCC
rnacentral:rRNA from 1 species